GUGGGGAAUCUUAGACAAUGGGGGAAACCCCGAUCUAGCCAUGCCGCGUGAGCGAUGACGGCCUUAGGGUUGUAAAGCUCUUUCAGCUGGGAAGAUAAUGACGGUACCAGCAGAAGACGCCCCGGCUAACUCCGUGCCAGCAGCCGCGGUAAUACGGAGGGGGCUAGCGUUGUUCGGAAUUACUGGGCGUAAAGCGCACGUAGGCGGAUUAGAAAGUCAGAGGUGAAAUCCCAGGGCUCAACCUUGGAACUGCCUUUGAAACUCCUGGUCUUGAGGUCGAGUAAGGUGAGUGGAAUUCCGAGUGUAGAGGUGAAAUUCGUAGAUAUUCGGAGGAACACCAGGGGCGAAGGCGGCUCACUGGCUCGAUACUGACGCUGAGGUGCGAAAGCGUGGGGAGCAAACAGGAUUAGAAACCCCGGUAGUCC
rnacentral:rRNA from 1 species